rnacentral:rRNA from 1 species
CCUACGGGUGGCAGCAGUGAGGAAUAUUGGUCAAUGGACGAGAGUCUGAACCAGCCAAGUAGCGUGAAGGAUGACUGCCCUAUGGGUUGUAAACUUCUUUUAUAUGGGAAUAAAACGUUCCACGUGUGGGAUUUUGUAUGUACCAUAUGAAUAAGGAUCGGCUAACUCCGUGCCAGCAGCCGCGGUAAUACGGAGGAUCCGAGCGUUAUCCGGAUUUAUUGGGUUUAAAGGGAGCGUAGGUGGAUUGUUAAGUCAGUUGUGAAAGUUUGCGGCUCAACCGUAAAAUUGCAGUUGAAACUGGCAGUCUUGAGUACAGUAGAGGUGGGCGGAAUUCGUGGUGUAGCGGUGAAAUGCUUAGAUAUCACGAAGAACUCCGAUUGCGAAGGCAGUUCACUGGACUGCAACUGACACUGAGGCUCGAAAGUGUGGGUAUCAAACAGGACUAGAUACCCCAGUAGUG